rnacentral:rRNA from 1 species
CCUACGGGUGGCUGCAGUGAGGAAUAUUGGUCAAUGGACGAGAGUCUGAACCAGCCAAGUAGCGUGAAGGAUGACUGCCCUAUGGGUUGUAAACUUCUUUUGUCAGGGAGCAAAGGGCGCCACGUGUGGCGUUUUGCGAGUACCUGAAGAAAAAGCAUCGGCUAACUCCGUGCCAGCAGCCGCGGUAAUACGGAGGAUGCGAGCGUUAUCCGGAUUUAUUGGGUUUAAAGGGUGCGCAGGCGGAAUGUCAAGUCAGCGGUAAAAUUUCGGGGCUCAACCCCGUCGUGCCGUUGAAACUGGCGUUCUUGAGUGAGCGAGAAGUAUGCGGAAUGCGUGGUGUAGCGGUGAAAUGCAUAGAUAUCACGCAGAACUCCGAUUGCGAAGGCAGCAUACCGGCGCUCAACUGACGCUCAUGCACGAAAGCGUGGGUAUCGAACAGGAUUAGAUACCCGAGUAGUC